UACGAAGGGGGCUAGCGUUGCUCGGAAUCACUGGGCGUAAAGCGCACGUAGGCGGAUUGCUAAGUCAGGGGUGAAAUCCUGGAGCUCAACUCCAGAACUGCCCUUGAUACUGGCGGUCUCGAGUCCGGGAGAGGUGAGUGGAACUGCGAGUGUAGAGGUGAAAUUCGUAGAUAUUCGCAAGAACACCAGUGGCGAAGGCGGCUCACUGGUCCGGUACUGACGCUGAGGUGCGAAAGCGUGGGGAGCAAACAGG
rnacentral:rRNA from 1 species